UUAAAAACAGAAAAGACUCUGCUGUCCCAGCAUGGUAUCCACCUAUGGGCAGGGCCUACAGCCUCCCUCACCUGGAGCUGAUUCAGGCAAUUAGGUUGGAGAUUUAAGCUGACACUGCUUCCUUGCCAGUUUGUCAACUACCCUAUGUUGGUAACCAGGCCUCACGCUUCAUGCCAGUAAGUCUCAAGUGCUUUACUUACUUGUGAUCUUGUGUUCUAGUUGCUCCCGGGUAUUCCACAACGCUGAACAACUCAUCCUGGAAAUCUGGUUCACCCGCCUGCUUUUGGAAUUAUCUCCUUGCCUCACCUGCCUGCCCUCCUGCCCUUACACUACCACGGAACCUUCACCCCUCAGGACAGCCGACACACAACCAAACCCACCCGGACCGCACCACCUCUCCUUCAACACUUACAUCACCCACCUGCACAUGCGUACCUAAUCACCAGCACAGCUCCCGUUGCUUUCUUGGACCUGUCCCCUUGCUUUAUUCCUCUCUCCUAGCCAAGACCCCCACACCCCAUUUGUCAAGCCUUAAGCCAAGUGCCAUUAUAAAUAUCAUCCUUGUGCUGGUUAAUAAAACAUUGUUAAAACCUUUCCUCAGCCUCCGCUUUGGGUUCUCUGCACGUGGGUUCGGUUUUGGUACUCGGCCUAUGGGCCUUUUUGUGACAAUAUACCUGUAUGUGCACUGUAAAUAUGAUCUUAUUGAAUGACAGUUCACAGUAGUUUAUUAUGUGUCUUGUUUGGUGCCUUUAUUCAUUAUUGUGAACAGAAUGUUGAGUAUUUUGGACUUUAGUUCUUGUUAUAGUUUAGUCUCAGUUUUACUGUUGAAUUUGUUCCCUUAGAGUUUCCUGUCACAUCUUCUUGUGCCAAUUUUCUUAUAUGAAGUUCAUUCAUGUGUCUGUUCCCACAUUUAGUUAUGGUUCUCACUUCCUGUUUUAUUGUCUUUGUGUUUAGUUUUAAUAAUCAAAUUGUCUUUGAUUAUUUUCACCUACAUCUCAUCAUCCAACUGCAUCCACUUCCUGUAAUUAUGGUACCCUCAUUUAUAAGCAUUGUCUUUGCCUCAGUGUCUCUUAUUCUGCCUGUGAUUUUUCCAGUUGGUUUUGAACUCUGUUUAUUCGUUCUGUGAACUUUGUAUUUUGGACAUUUCAUCAGUGGAAAUAAAGGCUUGCUUUUUAAUUAGUCAGUCAGUCAGUCUUUUGUGUGCAUUUUAGUCUGUAAACAUGAACAUAAUUACUUUCUCUUCAGAUAAAUGCAACUUCAGUAACUGCUAAAAGUACUUAAGGGUGUGUGUGUGUGUGUGUGUGUGUGUGUGUGUGGGGGGGGGGGGGUUAUUUUGAGUACACCUGAAACAACCAGUUGGGCAGAAACUUAUUGGAGAGAAGCUGCUUCUAGUUUAGUUCAGUAAGUGUCAUCUACAGAUUUCUGUCCAGUGAUAUGAG
rnacentral:lncRNA from 1 species